CGUGCCGGGGCUCAAGGAGACGCGAGCGACGAAUGGUGGGAAGGGGCCGGGAGCCGACCUGACCGGGAAGAGGUAGCAUCGACCUCCCCGGGGCCUCCCACACUCGUCUCCCGGCAGAAUGACUUGUGCAGUCCAGAGACAGCAUCAAUUCUUCUGAGUCUGCAGCCUGAAGACUGGAUUUGACCACCUCCAUGACAGAAGUGAGGUUCACUGGCUAUGUAAUAAACACAACAUGAUAAAUAUCUUCAUUUCAUGAUUGUGUGCAGCAGGUGAACUAGAACGUGUAGUGAUUGAUUCAGAUUGCCAUAGCUCAUGACCCAGGUCUCCUGGCUUCAGUUUCUGGCAUUAUCAAGAAGUAUCAAGUCACACAGCACUUCAUUCAGGUUCAAGAGAACAGUUUCUCUCUUUCUCUCUUAAGACUUAUUUAUUAUGUCUACAGUGUUCUGUCUGCAUAUACACCUGCCGGCCAGAAGAGGGCACCAGAUCUCAUUGUGGAUGGUUGUGAGCCACCAUGUUGUUGCUGGGAAUUGAACUCAGGACCUCUGGAAGAACAGCCAGUGCUCUUAACCUCUGAGCCAUCUCCCCAGCUGCUGUGGGAUGGUCUUUAUGUCAAGUGUGUUGCUGAUUGGUCAAUAAAUAAAUCACUGAUUGGCCAGUGGCUAGGCAGGAAGUAUAGGCGGGACAAGGAGGAGAAUAAAGCUGGGAAGUGGAAGGCUGAGUCAGAGACACUGCCAGCCGCCAAGAUGACUAACAGUAUAUGAAGAUGCCGGUGAAGAUUGGUUGCCCAGGAAAAGAUGAGUGGAAACAUUUGAGGUUCGGAAAAGUUCUGAAGCAUAAAUGGCUAUUCAUCAGCUGUGGGAUUUCUAAGAGUAGCUCUGGUUGGACAUAUACUACUGUUGAUGGACUGAUAGAUUUUGCUCUGUAGUAGGAACCCUGCUUUCCCCACACCUGGCCCUGCUACUCUACUAUUUUAAGAUAUAAAGGAUCUAGCUCUAAGUGAUGUUCCCCUAGAUAUGAUGUUUCCUUUGCAUUUCCAAUCUAACUCUUUCCAGGCAGCUAUGAGGAAAGGGAUGAGUCAGCUUAUCAAAUGGAUCUUUAGUCUAGCUCAUCCUUUUUGCUUGAUCAGAUCUAAGGAAUUAUUCAAAUACAGGGCACUCUGAAGUUUCCAGAGUUAUGCUCUUCACUGAACCAAGGGCAGUAUAAAAACAGACAACAUCAUUCUUAAAAUGACUUUAGUAAUCUAGAUCCAUUUUUUUAAUGACAUAAGCUCAAUAAAAAGAUGUGUUCACAAUACACGAUUGUUUUUGGUUGCUUGACAUGUUUGGAACCCUAAACCCUCAGGUUCCCAGGCUCAAAAACUAUCUCUUACUUGCUCCUAUGAUGAUGCAAAGAACGUAAAGACUACAUUGAAAAGCAUUCUGAUUACUUGGAAAUUUUGUUUAAGCUUAUAUACAGUGAACCAUCACACCAUUACGUGUUCUGAAAUUAUUAGCACUGUAGAUGAGCCGUUUUAAUCAGGUGCAAGUUUAUCAUACACUGGGUAGAUUUUGUUCAUUUAAAAAAUUCUAAUGACUUAAAAUAUUUGGUAAUUAGCUAUACCAUCUAGUAGUAUUAAAUUUAAAUAAGAUUUAAAAAUUUAAAUGUAAUAUUAAUAUAAAAUAAAAUAUGUCUUUUUUUUUUUUGAAGAUAGGGUCUUACCAUGUAACUCUGGCUGUCCUGGAACUUGAUCUGUAGACCAGGCUGACCUCAAAUUCACAGAGAUCCACCUACCUCUGCCUCCUGAGUGCUGGGAUUAAAGGUGUAUAUCUGGUUUCUAAGAAACCUGGGCAGCAGCCAGGUAGUGUAGCAUAUACCUUUAAUCCCAGCACUUGGGAGACAGAAGCAGGCGGAUCUCUGUGAGUACGAGGCCAGCCUGGUCUACAGAGUGAGUUCCAGGACUGCCAGACAGAAAAACCCUGUCUUGAAAAAACCUAAAGAAAAAAAGAAGCCUGGGCAAAAUCUUUUUUGCCUAGAGCAAAUACUGACUGUUUUUGCAUUAUCGUCCACAUCCUCUAUAACAAUGUAUAAGAAAUAGGUCAAAUAUAUAUAUAUGUAUAUAUAUACACAUAUAUUAUAAAUAUAUAUUGAUACAUAUGUAUAUACACAUACACACACAUCCAGUAUAUAUAUGGAUAGAUUUGGGGUUAAGGGUAUACACAUUUGGCAGUCUUUUUUUUUGGUUUUUCGAGACAGGGUUUCUCUGUGUAAGAGCUUUGGCUGUCUGGGAACUGACUUUGUAGGCCAGGCUUGACCUAGAACUCACAGAAAUCCACCUGCCUCUGCCUCCGCAGUGCUGGGAUUAAAGGUGUGUGCCACCAUGCCAAGUUUAUCACUCUCUGUUGAUACCUCCUCUGUAAGGGCAGGAGUGUGGGAAAUAACUCCUCUGUAAAGCAAAAGCACUUCAGCCCAGCUUUACUUGCCCUUUUACAUUUCUCAAUCAUAAAUGCGUGUGUGUAUACACACACACACUGGUAAUCAAAGAGUUGGGAGCUGACUGUUUCUGCUCCUGCAAGUGUCAGCUUUUGGAGGCCCCACCUUCCCAUUUGUUCGUCCAGCUUCCUAAUUCUGUGCUAGUAUAGAACACCUCUUAUCCUUCAGACCAGACUUUAUUCUUCAUCCAGCAUUACUAUCAUGAAAGGUGUCCACCGAAAGUGAAAUCACACUUUAAAUUUCAGUUGUUCAACUUGACAAGUAGACCAAACUGUUAGAUAUUCCGCAUUUUAGGUCACACUGAUAAGUUUUUGGCUUCCUGAAGGCCUCUCUACCAUUGCAACAAACCGAAUCAGACCAAAUUGGAAAGCCCAGGUUUAAUGGGUAAAGUGCUCCCGGGCAAUUCCCUGGCCCUCAGAGAGGAGACAAGGAGGCGAGACUGGAAGAACCACGAGUCUGUUUUUGGGGAUGCUGCUUAUAUGUCCCCUGUGGGAGUCAUCCUAAGCCUCUCUGGGGGAGGAGCUGUGUUUGGCUGGCUUUGAAGGGGUGGGUUUAAGGAAAGAGAUGGGGAAAGGAGCCGAGGCGGAUCUUCCACCAGACUCCUUCCAAACAUUCCAGACUCUUUGGGUAUAGGGAUGCCAGGGUGCCAGGGUGCCAGGGGUUGAGGUGGAGUUCCCACCCAAACAUUCCAGACUCUUUGGGUAUAGGGAUGCCAGGGUGCCAGGGUACUAGGGGUUGAGGUGGAGCGCCCACCCAAACACACACCAGUUUGGAUGUGAUGGAAGAGUGUAAUGUAAAAUUUAGAAUUGUAACAGUAAAAAUAGAUUGCUUUGUGUGGGGAGGGGCAGUUUGAAUUCAUUCCCACAAAAUACCCUGGGGAUAUAAAAAUAUUGACAAUAUAAAUAUUCAAAACUUUCAUAGUGACAUAAUUUAUAUUCUCUUCAUAAGCACUAUUAAAAAUACACAAACCUAGAAAAUGUACAAGUGUUAAUAUUUUAAAAUACAAUUAAAUGCCUACUUCAAAGGUUCACAAAAACAUUUUCAGAUUGACUUUUUGAUUGGAUUAAUUUUCCAAGGGCUUUCUUCUCUGUUGUUUGGGGUUUAGAGAAAGAGAGAUUCAACAGUGGUUCAAGGUAAAAGGACAGAGGGCAAUGCCAGCCAAGGUCUCCCCUGGGUCCAUUCAAACACGCACCAUCUUCUGGUACCUCCACACAGAAAUAAAGAACACAAGAAGAAAAUCCUCAUCAACUGUAAAUAUAAUGGUAUGUCCAGAAGCAGCUGAAUCAGCAGCACACUUGUAUAGUGCUUUCUGCACUCAAAGCUUUUUAACACCAUCCAUUUGGUUUUCAAAAUAAUUCCAUAAAAUUCAAUAAAUGAGUCUAGUAGGCUCAUUUUAUAAGCCAGAAAAAUGAUGGAUGUUCAAGAGAUCAUUGGACAUUCUUAUGGUCGAAUACUAACUAGCAGAGCAAAGGCAAGCUCAGAGCUACAUUCUCUGACUUCUUGCUUAAUAUUCUUUACACUAGGCCAUUUUGGUUUUCAAACAGAUGAAGUUACCAUGGUUUAAGCAUAAGAGUCUUAUAAUCUCAAAAAGGUAAUUUCAUUGGGUAAUUAGAUAUCCUUCUGUGAUUUAUAGCAUAGAACAGGUAUACAUGUUAUAAAAUAUUUAACACUGUGAUCAAAAUGUCCCUUCCAUGCAUGUUCAAGCAGUAAAUUAAAAAUUAGGCAUGGUAAGCUGCAUGCCUUUUAUCCCAGCACUCAGAGUCAGAGGCAGGCAGAUCUCUGACUUCGUAUCCAACCUAGUCUAUGUGUCAAGUUCGAGGCCAACAAGGGCUACCAAAGUGAAACCCUGUCUCAACCUUCAUGCCAAAAAAAUUAAGGAGCUGCAUUUGGGAGACUGAGGCAAAUGGGUUUCAGCUAUAUAUCAAAACUGUCUGCAAAACAGAAAAAAAUAAUAACUUAAAAAAAAUUGAGCCCGGCGGUGGUGGCGCACGCCUUUAAUCCCAGCACUCGGGAGGCAGAGCCAGGCGGAUCUCUGUGAGUUCGAGGCCAGCCUGGACUACCAAGUGAGUUCCAGGAAAGGCGCAAAGCUACACAGCGAAACCCUGCCUCGAAAAAAACCAAAAAAAAAAAAAAAAAAAAAAAUUGAACUUGAACAUCAUUUUAUUUACUUAACUGAGUAUUUUAUCUACCCUUCUAUUGAUGAGAUUGUAAAAUGAAAUGUGAGUGCUAAAUCGAGUGGCUAACACCAUUUUCCUUGUUCAGAACAUCUUGUCCACUUUUCUUUCACUGGAAAUAGGAUAAUUUGGAAAUCUGAAAAAAUACUAUGUAUGUUUAUUGAUAAUUUUGACAAUAGUUCAAGGUAAACUGCAUUUUUUUUUCCUUUGAAAACAUCACUAUUUUUUUUCUUGGCUAAAUUUGUUUUUGUUUUUUUCUGGCUAAAUUUUAACAGUGUACUAUAAUAUCAAAGUAUUUGCUACUGAGUGAUCCUUUU